CCUACGGGAGGCAGCAGUGGGGAAUAUUGGGCAAUGGGCGCAAGCCUGACCCAGCAACGCCGCGUGAAGGAAGAAGGCUUUCGGGUUGUAAACUUCUUUUCUCAGGGACGAAGCAAGUGACGGUACCUGAGGAAUAAGCCACGGCUAACUACGUGCCAGCAGCCGCGGUAAGACGGAGGUGGCAAGCGUUAUCCGGAUUUACUGGGUGUAAAGGGCGUGUAGGCGGGACUGAAAGGCAGAUGGGAAAACCAUGGGCUCAACCUCUGGCCUGCAUUUGAAACUGUAGUUCUUGAGUACUGGAGAGGCAGUCGGAAUUCCUCGUGUAGCGGUGAAAUGCGUAGAUAUUAGGAG
rnacentral:rRNA from 1 species